rnacentral:rRNA from 1 species
GAAUCCUGAAUUCGAAAGGGGUUGGAUUCAAGUCUACCGGAAUGUAACUGGAGCCCUCGAGUCAGAUGACGCUGGUCGCCUGCGACGAUUCAUUUCGUUUGCGGAGUCGUUUCCGGCUGUCACUCGUCUUGGGGUGUGAUACCUGCAACGGAAGGGUGCAAUUCCCCCCUAGUAGAAACGUCGCGACCCGUUGGGUGCCGGUCUAAGGCCCGGGAUGGCAGCCCGUGUGUCCUGUGGGGGUUCUCACAGGCGCGUGGACUCCUGGUGAUCCGGCCGGCUGCCCGACGGUAUGACCAGAGGAGUCGAUCCGCUAAAUGGGAAACACUAUGGUUUGUGAAGCGUCCGGCCCGGCGCCGAUGCGUGUGGGGAUUGAGGUGUAAACCGGGGGUGCCCGUGCGAAGCACGGCCCCGGCCCCACUGCGUUUUCGGUCCGUCGGUGUCCUCGGACUGGAUCAGCACUCCCGUCUGCGACGCCCACCUUCGGAUGGUCUCCCG